GGCCGCGGGAAUUCGAUUCAGGCCUAACACAUGCAAGUCGAACGGAGUAAAGACUUCGGUUUUUACUUAGUGGCGAACGGGUGAGUAACGCGUGAGAAACCUGCCUUUCAGUGGGGGACAACAGUUGGAAACGACUGCUAAUACCGCAUAAUGUCAUUUAAGGGCAUCCUUGAAUGACCAAAGAUUUAUUGCUGAAAGAUGGUCUCGCGUCUGAUUAGCUAGUUGGUGAGGUAACGGCUCACCAAGGCGACGAUCAGUAGCCGGUCUGAGAGGAUGAACGGCCACAUUGGGACUGAGAUACGGCCCAGACUCCUACGGGAGGCAGCAGUGGGGAAUAUUGGGCAAAGGGGGAAACCCUGACCCAGCAACGCCGCGGAACUAAGAUGGCCUUCGGGUUGUAAACUUCUUUACCAGGGACGAACAAAUGA
rnacentral:rRNA from 1 species